rnacentral:rRNA from 1 species
UACGUAGGGGGCAAGCGUUGUCCGGAAUUAUUGGGCGUAAAGAGCGCGUAGGCGGUCCGGUAAGUCGGUUGUGAAAGUCGGGGGCUCAACCCUCGGAUGCCGAUCGAUACUGUCGGGCUAGAGUCCGGAAGAGGCGAGUGGAAUUCCUGGUGUAGCGGUGAAAUGCGCAGAUAUCAGGAGGAACACCAAUGGCGAAGGCAGCUCGCUGGGACGGUACUGACGCUGAGGCGCGAAAGCGUGGGUAGCGAACAGG